rnacentral:rRNA from 1 species
UACAGAGGUCUCAAGCGUUGUUCGGAUUCAUUGGGCGUAAAGGGUGUGUAGGUGGCGCCGUUAGUCGGGUGUGAAAUUUCGGAGCUUAACUCCGAAACUGCAUUCGAUACUGCGGUGCUUGAGGACUGGAGAGGAGACUGGAAUUCAUGGUGUAGCAGUGAAAUGCGUAGAGAUCAUGAGGAAGACCAGUGGCGAAGGCGGCCAGCUGGGCCGUCCCUGACGCUGAGGCGCGAAGGCGUGGGGAGCGAACGGG